rnacentral:rRNA from 1 species
UCUACCCUGAGGUGGGGCAUAACCCCGGGAAACUGGGGACAAUACCCCAUAGGCGAUCGGUACUGGAAUGUCCUUUCGCUAAAAGAUACGUCGCCUCAGGAUGAGUCCGUGGCGGAUUAGGUAGUUGGUAGGGUAAUUGCCUACCAAGCCGAAGAUCCGUAGGGGCCGUGAGAGCGGGAGCCCCCAGAUGGGUACUGAGACAAGGACCCAGGUCCCACGGGACGCAGCAGCCGCGCAAACUCCGCAAUGCACGAAAGUGUGACGGGGGAACUCCGAGUGCUGCUGGUAUAAUUCCAGUGGCUUUUCUGGAAUGUAAAUAGUUCCAGGAAUAAAGGUUGGGUAAGACCGGUGCCAGCCGCCGCGGUAACACCGGCAACCUGAGUGGUGACCGCGUUUAUUGGGCCUAAAGCGUUCGUAGCCGGGCAGGUAAGUUUA